UAUACAUCAGUUUUAUUCUUCUGACUUCAAACUUUGGCAGGAGCCAGCCAACCUGGAAAAGCACAGGAUCCUUGGAAACAACAAAACAGAAUCUUUCUGCCAGCCUCCUGCUCAGAGGAGAACCCAGGAUCUCACUUCUUUCCUUGCAUAAACCUUCACAACCUUUCUGCACUGUGUUUUUCUGUUUCCCCCUGGUUUGUUUACCUAGGUUUUCUCUGUACUCCACACCCUUGCACUGAUUCAACUCAAGUGGCCACCAUUUUCCUAUCAUUCAGGGAACGAUGUGAGCAAUCACCCCAUGAACCACAGCAGACUCUCCAGCACCGGGGAUGACUCCAGUGUGCUCCCUGGAGGCGGUCUGACAGGAGUAUCCAUCCAUGCACCUAUCUACCCAGUGUGACCCAGUGACCUGCUCUGUUGCCUUUCGUUGCCAUAGGUGGGCUGUGCCUAUGUUCAUCACUGUAAAACAAAGGGGAAAUCCUCGCAACCCACCCAGUUCUCUGACAGCGGAAGUAGAAGACUUGAUCAAAGUGAAGAGGAUCUCCACUCUGCCUCAGCUGAGGUCCCUUAUUUACAAGCAGCUGGGACUCGCUCCCAGCUCUGGAUGAGACACAUAAAGAUACCACAAUGAAUGCACAUUUAGAUGUAUUGCCUGGAGUGUGGAAAAUCAGGAGAGAGACUUUCAGAGAUCACUUCAAAACAUAUCACAAGCUUAUGAAUUCUACCUUGGAUCUCCCAUUCCACCAUCUGGGACAUGAACAGGACUGGAGGGGCCCCAGCGUGACAUUUCUGGAAGCAUCAUGCAUGGAUAUGAAGGAUUCCCCAGAUCAACUUGCUGUGUUAAAAGUAAAAUACUUGGCAGACUCUGGCCAGCCGUCAGCUUCGUGCUCAGCCUUUUCAUUCCAAACCAGAAAGAGUUCACACAUGAGCUACCACCGGGAAC